GACAUUUGGUAGAGAUUGUUGAAGCCACCUGGACCCAGCAGACCCCUGAAGAUGGCCACAAUACACUGGUGCUGGGGCAAGGUCAUUAAGGGUGAAGCCUGGUACCAGAUGUGU
rnacentral:rRNA from 1 species